AAGCCAAUGCUGAUUUAUUGAAUAUUUUGGAAUUACCGUCUGAACACUUACAUUGAUGUCAAUUCGGCUGUAUCUGAGGCUUCCU